GACGAACGCUGGCGGCGUGCUUAACACAUGCAAGUCGAACGGUAAGGCUCCAGCUUGCUGGGGUACACGAGUGGCGAACGGGUGAGUAACACGUGGGUGACCUGCCCUGCACUUCGGGAUAAGCCUGGGAAACUGGGUCUAAUACCGGAUAGGACCAUGGUGUGGAUACUGUGGUGGAAAGUUUUUUCGGUGUGGGAUGGGCCCGCGGCCUAUCAGCUUGUUGGUGGGGUAAUGGCCUACCAAGGCGGCGACGGGUAGCCGGCCUGAGAGGGUGGACGGCCACAUUGGGACUGGGACACGGCCCAGACUCCUACGGGAGGCAGCAGUGGGGAAUAUUGCACAAUGGGCGGAAGCCUGAUGCAGCGACGCCGCGUGGGGGAUGACGGCCUUCGGGUUUUAAGCUCCUUUCACCAUCGACGAAGUGUUUCUGACGGUAGAUGGAGAAGAAGCACCGGCUAACUACGUG
rnacentral:rRNA from 1 species